UACGGAGGAUGCGAGCGUUAUCCGGAUUUAUUGGGUUUAAAGGGUGCGUAGGCGGGCUUUUAAGUCAGCGGUAGAAAUUCGGGGCUCAACCCCGUCCGGCCGUUGAAACUGGGGGCCUUGAGUGGGCGAGAAGAAGGCGGAAUGCGCGGUGUAGCGGUGAAAUGCAUAGAUAUCACGCAGAACCCCGAUUGCGAAGGCAGCCUUCCGGCGCCCUACUGACGCUGAGGCACGAAAGUGCGGGGAUCGAACAGG
rnacentral:rRNA from 1 species